rnacentral:rRNA from 1 species
AGAACGAACGCUGGCGGCAGGCCUAAUACAUGCAAGUCGAACGCACUCUUCGGAGUGAGUGGCAGACGGGUGAGUAACGCGUGGGAACCUUCCCAAUGGUACGGAAUAACUCCGGGAAACCGGUGCUAAUACCGUAUAAGCCCCUCGGGGGAAAGAUUUAUCGCCAUUGGAUGGGCCCGCGUCGGAUUAGCUAGUUGGUAAGGUAAUGGCUUACCAAGGCUACGAUCCGUAGCUGGUCUGAGAGGAUGAUCAGCCACACUGGGACUGAGACACGGCCCAGACUCCUACGGGAGGCAGCAGUAGGGAAUCUUGGACAAUGGGCGAAAGCCUGAUCCAGCCAUGCCGCGUGAGUGAAGAAGGCCUUAGGGUUGUAAAGCCCUUUUGGCGGGACGAUAAUGACGGUACCCGCAGAAUAAGCCCGGCUAACUUCGUGCCAGCAGCCGC